GAGGACUUCCAUGGCCUCAAUCCACCUCCGGUGUUGUGCAAGAAUGAGAAGCAAAGCCUGUCUAUGUAUUGUGAGAUAUCUACUUCUAUGACUAGGAUAUAUGUACAAGACCGGCUUUUCUUCUUCUUCUUGCACAACCUGAGGUAAUUGGGGCUAUACAAGUCUUC
rfam:Arabidopsis lyrata subsp. lyrata unplaced genomic scaffold ARALYscaffold_1, whole genome shotgun sequence.